rfam:Schistosoma rodhaini strain Burundi genome assembly, scaffold: SROB_scaffold0000432
AUCCAGCUGACGAGUCUCUAUUAGGACGAAACGCACGUCAUGUAU